GCCUGUGUGGUGUAGUGGUUUGAGCAUUGGAUUCUGACUCUAAAGACUCGGGUUUGAAUCCCUGCUUGGCCA